rnacentral:rRNA from 1 species
ACGAAGGGUGCAAGCGUUACUCGGAAUUACUGGGCGUAAAGCGUGCGUAGGUGGUUGUUUAAGUCUGCUGUGAAAGCCCUGGGCUCAACCUGGGAAUUGCAGUGGAUACUGGGCGACUAGAGUGCGGUAGAGGAUGGUGGAAUUCCCGGUGUAGCGGUGAAAUGCGUAGAGAUCGGGAGGAACAUCAGUGGCGAAGGCGGCCAUCUGGGACAACACUGACGCUGAAGCACGAAAGCGUGGGGAGCAAACAGGA